CACAUGCCUAUAUAAUUGUUGUGGACCAAAUCUGAUUACUUUCAGUAAUACUGUGAUAUUAAAAAAAUAGUACGUUUCCAAAACUAGCUACAUUCUUCAUAAACACUGUUACAAAAGUGUGUGAAUCCACUGCCGUAAAUGCUCUUUCAAAGAACUUGUUAGAUCCUGCUCGUAUGUGCACGGUUUCUUUACUGUUUACGUACACAUACGGUCAUUUUAUGAACGUGUUCUACCUACUAUUCCAGAUGAUGAUAAUAAUUCUGACGCAAAUGUUGUUCCAGAUGAGUUAAAUAUUACAGAAGAUGAGGACUUGCAAAUUUAAAAUAUUUAACAUUUUGAACCUGUUUUUGCUUAAAUGAGAGACUGUAUUUUUGAUUUGAAAGUUGAGUCGAAUAAACACUAUUUUUGCAUCA